GACGGAGGCCUCGAGCGUUAGGCGGAAUCACUGGGCUUAAAGCGUGUGUAGGCGGGCCCGUAAGUGUCUUGUGAAAUCCCCCGGCUCAACCGGGGUACGGCUGGGCAUACUGCGGGUCUUGGGCCGACUAGGGGCAGCCGGAACAAGCGGUGGAGCGGUGAAAUGCGUAGAUAUCGCUUGGAACGCCGAAGGUGAAAACAGGCUGCUGGGGUCGCGCCGACGCUGAGACACGAAAGCCAGGGGAGCAAACGGG
rnacentral:rRNA from 1 species